AGCUACAUCCGUCACCUGACACGGCCCUACCAGGAACAGCCGCGCUCCCGCGGAUUCUGGUGCUGCUCGCGUCCCCGCUCCCCUAUUCCCCUUAUUUUAUUCCUGGCUCCCCUCGUCGAAAGUCUUCCAUUCUUCAAACUAGAUUAUUUAAAAAUGAAAAAGGAAGAAAGGAAAGCGAGGUCAUCUCAUUGCUCUAUCCGCCAAUCAGGAGGCUGAAUGUCAGUUUUGAACUAAAAGCCGCUCCGCUCCUCUUCUAGAUUUGGAAAACAAGCGAAAUUAAACUAAACCGCUGCACGCCUCUGACGCGACAUCUGGACACGGCGCGGCGCUGGCGCUGCCGGAGCUGUCGACCCGGCCUGGCGCCGGACUAGUGUCCCUUUUGAUGAGAAGAAUAAGCCUCAUUCUGAUUCAACAGCAGAGAUCAAAGAAAAGACUUCUGUUUUCUGGCCACCAGAUAUAUGUUAUCUGUGCUUAAAGAAUUGAAAAACACACAUCAAAGGAGAAUUUUCUUGGAAAGAGAGGGUUCAAGCAUCACUGUUAGGUGUGCUGGAAUCCUUUCCCGAGUCAGUACUGCUUUCUAGAAGAAAACCGGGGAGAUCUAUUUGGAAUGUAUCUAACUCCAAAGAAACCAUCAGAGGUAACAGGUUAGGAAAUUGAAAUACAGAAAGAUGAAAAGUGAUUUGCCCAAGCAUAUAGAUCAAAGCUGUGGCAGAACCAGGACUGGAACCUAUAUCUCUCUACUAAUGGUUUUUUUAAAAAAAUAACCUUGUUUCAAAAAUAUUAAAAAGUCACAAGAAAGGUAAACAUGUGGAUAAACAAAAUGAAGAAAAUAAAAAUUAUCCAGUAAUAACAUAUUGGCAUAUGUCUUUCUGGUAUAUUUUCCUGUGUUGUCAUCAUUAUCAUCUCCAUCAUCAUUAUAUCCAUCAUUAUCAUCAUCAUCAUCAUCAUCAUCAUCAUUAUCAUCACCAUAGUGAACAUGUAAUGCUUACCUAGUGCCAGAUGCUGUCUAGGCAUUUUACAUGUGUUACUGGUAACUCAUGUAAUCCUCAUAACAACCUUAUAAGGUGGUUGCUAUUAUCCCCAUGUUACAUAUGAAGAGACAGAAGCAUAAAGAAGUUGCACCGCUGGUAAUUGGCUGGGAUUUGAACUUAAGCAGUCUAACCUUAGAGUAAUGAUUUUAACAACUAUGCUAUAUACAUACAAAUUUACAAAAUAAAACUGGGCUCAGACAAUAAAAA
rnacentral:lncRNA from 1 species